GCACCCGUAGCCCAGUGGAUAAGGCGUCGGCCUCCGAAGCCGGAGAUCCCGCGUUCGAAUCGCGGCGGGUGCACCA
rnacentral:tRNA from 1 species